rnacentral:misc_RNA from 1 species
UGAUCCCCAGGCAGGUCCCUAAAAUGGCAUCAAGAUCAUAAACACAUUUUAGAUUAAGAAAAACAGUAUGAAAGGACUAUGAUGUGCUCGUGACAGUGCUACCAUUGGGUAAAUAAUGCGUUUACCAAGAAGCUAUCAAUUAUCACCUCUUCUGUGCUAAGGAACUGAAAAUAAGCGGGACUUCCCCCCCUUCUUUAUAUAUUUUCCCCCUCUUUUAGUCAAUUUCUCUGGACAAAUUAGAAGUCAUUU